rnacentral:misc_RNA from 1 species
AAGACUAUAGACCUGCGGAGUACCUGCGGAAGGAUCAUUAACGUAUCUAUGAUGGGGUGCGGAGCGCCCUGCUCCGGUCGAACGGCCGUGCAGUGGGAGCGCCGCCCCCGUCCCACCUCACAAACCCACUGUGAACAUUCACCGGUGGAGGGGGCUCGGUCUGCGCCGUGUCCCCGAUGCCGAAUACCCAAACUCCAGUUGCAAAGAACGUCGUGCGGACUCGGUGCCGCCUAAAACAUG